CCUCUUUUUCGUGAGCCAAGUAAAACCUCCAAACUUGCUUGCCUUGAUGGAAGAAGCCAGUCUUUUCCAAGCUUAUGAAAACUAAACCAAACCUAUCCUACUGAACCUUUGAACCUACUAACCCAUCUAUCUACCAACACCCUGCUCCCACUGCUCCCACUGAAUCCUUCCAAACAUCUCAUUCCACAAGGAAACUUAUCCACAAAAAUGGAUUCCAAGCAAACAGUCUUCCAUCCAAGCAAACAGUCCUACCCUAAUCUAGACUGAUGGUAAUAACCUCAUAUUGAAACCUCAACUCCGGAAUUGAAUAUUCUUAAAGCUUUGGUCAAAAACAGUUGGACGUACUACACCGAUUCGGAUCUGCUGACCUGGUAUGGUAUCUGGUCCCCACACCGAACCAACGUAACGUGACAUUUACGUUGGACGUACUACACCGAUUCAGAUCUGCUGACCUGGUAUGGUAUCUGGUCCCCACACCGAACCAACGUAACGUGACAUUAACGACGUACUACAACGAUUCGGAUCUGCUGACCUGGUAUGGUAUCUGGUCCCCACCCCGAACCGACGUAACGUGACAUUAACGGAGAAUGCUGAGUACCGGAAUGACACACAGCCCUGAUAUCUAACCCAUGAAAACUUCCUCGUCGGAACGGGACAGAAAGAUUUCCAUCUUCAACACCAUCUAUUCCUUUCCGAUCUCAAGUCAGCCAUGUAAACCGUUGUGCAUGUUUAACUUUCCAUGUUAACUCAUGCUCAUUUAAAGGUUUGAUCUCUAUCACGUAGACCGGCAAAUUUUACAGUCAAGAAAAGGUUCAACUGAUCCAUUUCUUAAGCAUUUUAUAAAUUUCAAAUUUCUUCUAAUUAAAGGAAUUAUUUUUUUCUCAUGCGCACAUGUGCUCCUUUUCUGAAAAGUGCUUCCCGUCAAUAAAUGAUAAAAUGAACUCGGUGAAGUUCUUAGUAUGGGAAAGAAAAAAUAAAAAUUGUAAACCUCACAGGUUAAACCUUGUCAAAAGUUUCUUUUUAUUACUACUGCAAAUACAAGGCACAAGAAAUCCGCUACUACCUUUUCCGAAACCUGGAAAAAUGAAUAGUAUUUUUAUUCCGAGUUUAAACCUUGUAAACCUAUCGUUUUGUCUGGAACCUUAUUCCUUAUUAACUAUUGGGAUUGCUAUAUGCUUGAACCUUAUCAACUAUUUAAAUUGAUUUGUACCAUAACCAACUACUAUAUGUAAAACCCUUUUUCCCGUAACCCUAAAUCCCUCGUAAAAUUUUCCUAGCAUCUCUGGAACAUUUUUAUUAUACCACUAGCUAUAAAGUUAUAGCUAAUAUAUAUAAUUGUAAAAAAAUGGCUUUGUCGUAUAUAGUAACCAUGUUAAUAUCUACAUGUAAAUUUUGUUAACAGAAAUAACUUUACUGAAAUAAAAAAAUAUUUAGUUUUA